rnacentral:rRNA from 1 species
GACGAACGCUGGCGGCGUGCCUAACACAUGCAAGUCGAACGGGAAUCUUUGAAAUGAAGCUUCGGCAGAUUUUCAAAGAGGAUAGUGGCGGACGGGUGAGUAACGCGUGAGUAACCUGCCGAGAAGAGGGGAACAACACAUCGAAAGGUGUGCUAAUACCGCAUAUUGUCAUCGAACCGCAUGAUUUGAUGAUGAAAGAUUUUAUCGCUUCUUGAUGGACUCGCGUCUGAUUAGAUAGUUGGUGGGGUAACGGCCUACCAAGUCGACGAUCAGUAGCCGGACUGAGAGGUUGAACGGCCACAUUGGGACUGAGACACGGCCCAGACUCCUACGGGAGGCAGCAGUGGGGAAUAUUGCGCAAUGGGGGCAACCCUGACGCAGCAACGCCGCGUGAAGGAAGAAGGUCUUCGGAUUGUAAACUUCUGCCCUAUGAGACGAAGGAAGUGACGGUAUCAUAGGAGGAAGCCCCGGCUAACUACGUGCCAGCAGCC